rnacentral:tRNA from 1 species
GAGGGUAGAGCUCAGUGGUGGAGGGCAUGCUUAGCAUGCAUGAGGUCCUGGAUUCGAUCCCAGUACCCCUA